rnacentral:rRNA from 1 species
AUUGAACGCUAGCGGGAUGCUUUACACAUGCCAGUCGAACGAGUGGCGGACGGGUGAGUAAUAUAUCGGAACGUGCCCAGUAGCGGGGGAUAACUACUCGAAAGAGUGGCUAAUACCGCCUACUAUUGGAGGGGCCGAUAUCGGAUUUGCUAGUUGGUGGGGUAAAGGCUCACCAAGGCCACGAUCCGUAGCUGGUUUGAGGGGACGAACAGCCACACUGGGACUGAGCAACGGCCCAGACUCCUACGGUAGGCAGCAGUGGGGAAUUGUGGACAAUGGGGGAAACCCUGCUCCAGCCAUCCCGCGUGUAUGAGAAGGCCUUCGGGUUGUAAAGUACUUUUGGCAGAGAAGCGGUAUCUGCAGAAUAAGCACCGGCUAACUCCGUGCCAGCAGCCGCGGUAAUAC